GAUGAACGCUGGCGGCGUGCCUAAUACAUGCAAGUCGAGCGAACGGACGAGAAGCUUGCUUCUCUGAUGUUAGCGGCGGACGGGUGAGUAACACGUGGAUAACCUACCUAUAAUACUGGGAUAACUUCGGGAAACCGGAGCUAAUACCGGAUGAUAUUUUGAACCGCAUGGUUCAAAAGUGAAAUACGGUCUUGCUGUCUCUUAUAGAUGGAUCCGCGCUGCAUUAGCUAGUUGGUAAGGUAACGGCUUACCAAGGCAACGAUGCAUAGCCGACGUGAGAGAGUGAUAGGCGACACGGGAAGUGAGACACGGACAAGAGUACUACGGGAGGCAGCAGUAGGGAAUCGGCCGCAAUGGGGGGAAGCCUGACGGAGCAACGCGGCGUGAGAGAUGAAGGUCUUCGGAGCGUAAAACUGGGUUAUGAGGGAAGAACAGAUGUGGAAGGAACUGAGGACAGCGUGACGGUAACGAAUCAGAAAGCAACGGCUAACUACGUG
rnacentral:rRNA from 1 species